rnacentral:rRNA from 1 species
CCUACGGGUGGCUGCAGUGGGGAAUAUUGGACAAUGGGGGCAACCCUGAUCCAGCCAUGCCGCGUGUGUGAAGAAGGCCCUCGGGGUGUAAAGCACUUUCAGUGAGGAAGAACGCCUGGUGGUUAAUACCCAUCAGGAAAGACAUCACUCACAGAAGAAGCACCGGCUAACUCCGUGCCAGCAGCCGCGGUAAUACGGAGGGUGCGAGCGUUAAUCGGAAUUACUGGGCGUAAAGCGCGCGUAGGUGGCUUGAUAAGCCGGUUGUGAAAGCCCCGGGCUCAACCUGGGAACGGCAUCCGGAACUGUCAAGCUAGAGUGCAGGAGAGGAAGGUAGAAUUCCCGGUGUAGCGGUGAAAUGCGUAGAGAUCGGGAGGAAUACCAGUGGCGAAGGCGGCCUUCUGGACUGACACUGACACUGAGGUGCGAAAGCGUGGGUAGCAAACAGGAUUAGAUACCCCUGUAGUC